GAUGAACGCUGGCGGCGUGCCUAAUACAUGCAAGUCGAGCGAACGGACGAGAAGCUUGCUUCUCUGAUGUUAGCGGCGGACGGGUGAGUAACACGUGGAUAACCUACCUAUAAGACUGGGAUAACUUCGGGAAACCGGAGCUAAUACCGGAUAAUAUUUUGAACCGCAUGGUUCAAAAGUGAAAGACGGUCUUGCUGUCACUUAUAGAUGGAUCCGCGCUGCAUUAGCUAGUUGGUAAGGUAACGGCUUACCAAGGCAACGAUGCAUAGCCGACCUGAGAGGGUGAUCGGCCACACUGGAACUGAGACACGGUCCAGACUCCUACGGGAGGCAGCAGUAGGGAAUCUUCCGCAAUGGGCGAAAGCCUGACGGAGCAACGCCGCGUGAGUGAUGAAGGUCUUCGGAUCGUAAAACUCUGUUAUUAGGGAAGAACAUAUGUGNUAGUAACUGUGCACAUCUUGACGGUACCUAAUCAGAAAGCCACGGCUAACUACGUGCCAGCAGCCGCGGUAAUACGUAGGUGGCAAGCGUUAUCCGGAAUUAUUGGGCGUAAAGCGCGCGUAGGCGGUUUUUUUAAGUCUGAUGUGAAAGCCCACGGCUCAACCGUGGAGGGUCAUUGGAAACUGGAAAACUUGAGUGCAGAAGAGGAAAGUGGAAUUCCAUGUGUAGCGGUGAAAUGCGCAGAGAUAUGGAGGAACACCAGUGGCGAAGGCGACUUUCUGGUCUGUAACUGACGCUGAUGUGCGAAAGCGUGGGGAUCAAACAGGAUUAGAUACCCUGGUAGUCCACGCCGUAAACGAUGAGUGCUAAGUGUUAGGGGGUUUCCGCCCCUUAGUGCUGCAGCUAACGCAUUAAGCACUCCGCCUGGGGAGUACGACCGCAAGGUUGAAACUCAAAGGAAUUGACGGGGACCCGCACAAGCGGUGGAGCAUGUGGUUUAAUUCGAAGCAACGCGAAGAACCUUACCAAAUCUUGACAUCCUUUGACAACUCUAGAGAUAGAGCCUUCCCCUUCGGGGGACAAAGUGACAGGUGGUGCAUGGUUGUCGUCAGCUCGUGUCGUGAGAUGUUGGGUUAAGUCCCGCAACGAGCGCAACCCUUAAGCUUAGUUGCCAUCAUUAAGUUGGGCACUCUAAGUUGACUGCCGGUGACAAACCGGAGGAAGGUGGGGAUGACGUCAAAUCAUCAUGCCCCUUAUGAUUUGGGCUACACACGUGCUACAAUGGACAAUACAAAGGGCAGCGAAACCGCGAGGUCAAGCAAAUCCCAUAAAGUUGUUCUCAGUUCGGAUUGUAGUCUGCAACUCGACUACAUGAAGCUGGAAUCGCUAGUAAUCGUAGAUCAGCAUGCUACGGUGAAUACGUUCCCGGGUCU
rnacentral:rRNA from 1 species